rnacentral:ncRNA from 1 species
UGAAAUGCAGUGACAAGGAAUAGUAACUGUCGAACGGAAUGCAGAAAGCUGUUGGUUGAUGUGAAACAGUAGAAGUGAAGCAGGGAACUCACCUUUGAGCAGCCGGUUGAACCGAUGAAAGAAAAGAGCAGAACAUGCUUUAGUUUUUUAUCAAAGUAGAUUAGGACGGAGACCUACCGUUACGAGGGAAGGGUAUUGAUUUUUUGAUGUACCUGGUGAGAGCAUGAUUUUUCAUGAAUAAGAGUGGUACCGCGUGAGUAUAAUUAUUGAUAUAUUCUCGUCUCUAUA